GGAGAGGUGGCCGAGCGGCUUAAGGCGCCCGCCUGCUAAGCGGGUGUGGGGGUAACACUUCACCGAGGGUUCAAAUCCCUCCCUCUCCGCCA
rnacentral:tRNA from 1 species